rnacentral:piRNA from 1 species
UCAUAUUUUUAACUCUGUGCAUGUGU